UUGAAUUUUGGAACGAUAAUUUUGUUGAUUGGAUGGUUAAUAGGGUAUAAAGACUAAAUUGUAAAAAUUACAAAAUUUAAUUAUUAUUGAUUUUAUUAGUUAAAAAGGCUUAAAAGGUAAUUAUUAAGGUUUUAUGUGACAAUUUACCACUUUUUAUAUUAGUGGACUGUAAGGCUUAGUAUUUAAAUUGUUUUUAUGUUAAAAUUUUAGUUAAAAAAUGGUUAAAUAUAAAUUUGGUACCCAAACUUGUUUACUUCUCCCAGAUCGGUACUUAUAGCUUUCUUUUGUCCUAGAUUGGUACUCAAACAUUUUUUCCGUCCACUAUAUUGGUACUUGAGACUAACGGCGUUAAAUUCAGGACAAGUGACGGAAUAAGAUCGUGACACGUGGAAUAAAUGACAUCAUGAUAAUGUCAUAAUAAAAAUAUUAAAAAUAAAUAAAAAUAUUUUUAAGACUAUUUCUUUUUUUUCUUUCUUUUUCCAAAUGAGGUUUCUUCUUCCUAAUCUCCUUUUUUUUUCUUUUUCCUGGUCACCUUUUUUCUUCCCAAUUCCAUUUUCUCAUUCUUUUCUAUACUGCUGCUACUUCUUUGCUCGAUGUAGAAGGUAUUGAGUUUGACUCUUGGGCAUAGAGGAAGUGGAUUCAAAUUCAAGCUACAAAGAUCUGGAUUACCCAAUAAACCUGAAAUGAAGAGCUCAUUAUUGAAACCCGGCAACUAAUAAAAUUUCUAGGUAGUUGGAUUUUUUUCUGUUGGGUUUUUUUUUUUUUUGUUUAAUUUGCUUUCUUUUUAGCUCAUAGGUUUUGGGUUAUCUCUAUUUUUUACUUAAAAUCUUGAUUCAUCUUCAUUUUUGGAUUUUCUCAUUCAAUUUUGUUCCUCUUUUUUUAGUUUCUAAGUAGUUAAAGUUUUUUCUGUUUGUUUCUUGAGAAAAUAUGAGAAAGAACAAAAUACAUUUUUUUUUGCACAUCAAUGGCUACAUAAGAGACCCAAGUUUCUUUUUUUUAACCUGUAAAACACUAAAUAUAGAUUCUCUCACUUUAGAAUUGUAGGUAUACACUAGCAAACCAUGAAAAAAACCCACUACUUUAUUUAUGUUGCAGAUCUAAGAUAUGCAUAAUUGUACAUCCCAUAAAAAACCAGAAUUGUGUAAUCCAGCACUAUUAUGUAAUUUGUGAAAAAUAGAUAGUCGGCAAUGGCAACAAAUUGCAAAAGAAACAGAAAGAAAAAUAAAGAACACACAGAUUUUUACGUGGAAACCCUUGCGGGAAAAAACUACAGGUAGAGGAGAAGAUAAUUCACUAUGUCAAAUUUGAAUAAUUACAAGAUGAGUAGACUAUGUCUAUUUAUACAUGAGUAAAAUCAUAUUCUAAUAAAGUAAAAUAGAAGUAAUGCAGUAAGGUUAAAACACCUUAUUCAAAUCAAUAUUAAAUAGAGGAAAUAUAUUUUUAUUCAAACUUCUCUUGCACACUUGUAUUUUUCCAUUCGUAUUGUAUUUUAUCAUGAAUUUGGGUCACAUAUCUA
rnacentral:lncRNA from 1 species